AUCCAGAAACGAAAACUGCCCAGGCAAAGCUCUGAAAGACACUCCUGGGCUAGGGCUCUUCUGCGAAGGUGCUUCACCUUACCAGUCUCGCCAGGUAAGGAAGUGGACUGCAAAGGAGGUAAAGGCGUUGGAGGCGGACGAUACCAAAUUACGGCGGGAGGAGGGAGCAGCAGGAACGGGAGAAUCCAAGUGGGACUGUUAGAGGCAAAGUGGGGCGGGGCGUCCUCUUUCCGUAGGCGCCCAGGAUGUGCCUGGAAAAGGAAAUGAAGCCUAGGUUCCAGCAAAGUGGGACGUCUAUGUGCUGGGGUACACUUGUCGUUUAUGGUUUAUUAGUUGGACCUCUCAUUCCGUGAUCUCACCUCCCGACUGGGUAGUCAGUCAGCAUACCGGGCCAGGGCAGUUAGGUAGAUGAUCCAACUUGGAGUACAAGG
rnacentral:lncRNA from 1 species